ensembl:lncRNA
AAAAAAUUACAGUCGCUGGCAAAUUGCUGUAGUGCAAAGACAUAUAAAACACUUCGGAUCUGUAUAGGUUUCAUUACCCGUGCUUACAAUACGAAUGACCGUUUAAUUCCUUUUAGAUCACUAGUUUAGAAUGCACUGUUGUUGGUCAGAUGUUACCUUUUGUGCUUCAGGUCCACGCUGAACACAACGCCGACACGCCCACGUUCCAGGAUGACGACAGUAGAGAACUCUGGGACACUUCGACUGACCUGCGAAACCGCCAAACUUCCAUCUCUUAGUGAAACGUGUGGGAUUAGGAAUGAACUCUGGGUGAAUUGUGCAGCUGAAAGAGUGGCCGUGGGUCCUGGGUCAACAUCGAGAUACUCGUAGAGGCGUCAAGAAUAAUAAUAAAUUGGAACGGAAGCUUAAUAAUACGCAAAAGGGUUGUUACGGCUUAUACUGACCGGUCUUCCUGUUACAGAUCGGUGUAGACAUGAAUUUCAGCCAUUGCAGAGCGAAGCAGUAAGCACAGUGUGAUUUUUGUUGGCGGGGGGAGGGGUGUGUGGGGGUUUGUGCUCACAAAAGCAACAUCACGUUCACGAUGUUAAAUAAAAAAAAAGUAUAAAUCACCAACGUCCUAUCGGAGAGCCCUAUUUCUGGCAUUCUCCUCCAUUUUUUUUUUUUUGCCGUACAAAACCUAAUAUUGUCUCUCGCUCAUUCCAUUUUUUUUUUUAUUUUACACACACAUUCACACCCAUACACACCCGUCAUACACAUCAGUUUCCCUGCACCACUAGCACACAAUGCUCCGUGUCAAACAGCAGAUGCUUGCAAGCCUAAAAUACCCCUGACGAUAUUCCCCAGAGAGCGCUGUGCCAUCCUGCAGUAUCCAGACCUCCGUAAUGAGACUUUGAGUUGCGGUACGGCCCGAAGUCCCCUGCGAUCCCGGAGCUCAAUGCGUGACACGCUGCAGCUCAGAUAGAUUUAUCACAGCUCACGGAGAACGCACACACACACACACACACACUUCGAAAGGUCCAAAUCAGUGAGCAAGCCGGUUAUGAGGCGCGCUGACGCAGCACGGCCAUCCCGUCCAGGGAGAAACGCUUCACCACACUCCGCUGGAGAAGAGAGACAGAGAGAGAGAGAGAGAGACGGCAGAGAAAUAGUGCACCUCCACUCCAUCUUGUCAGCGAACCAAACGCAGAUCAAUCAAAGUCAGACCCGGCAGUGUGCAAGGUCAAACCCGGCUCCAGUAAAUGAAAGCUCUAUUAAACUUAAGCUCGGCCGUCUGGCACGCAGCAGUGAUGAGUAAGUAAUUAAUGACGCUGAGGGAAAUCCAUGGAACAAAAGAUGCCGUGUUUAAAGUGGAACGUUUAUUAUAAUGCAGUAUUGGGCACACGUUAUGGUUUUUCCAAACACUUCAAUCCUGCUGUUAGGUUUAAAAGUGUUCUAGUAUUAUAAUCAUAUCAUUUCAAAGCUACAUUAAAAAACUAUGAUUUUCAAUGUUGUCAUGCAGUGGGUUUCGUUACAAUCUAGGGCUUUUUUUUUUUUUCUCACCCGGAAAUAACUCUCAGUCCAGCGACUUGUCUCAGCUUUACUCUUCUUUUUUUUUUUCGUCAAAUGAAAAGGUGUAUAAAUGGAUGACGUGUCCGUCCAUGUUUGUGACGGUCACUCCAGAAAGAACAAACCGCUCCGUCAAGUGUUGUAUGUUUUGAAAGAUGGCACUGCGAUCAUUUCGAGUUAAAACCGUGCAACAUGGAUGUUUUAGCGCUUUUCCACCGAACAGUGUGCUGGACAGCUUGGCUCGGCAAAUUAACCAAAAAUCACACCGUUAACGUCGUCUCAACGUCUGCCGCCGUUUCGGGAUCUGGUUACCCGUCUCGCCCGGGUGCCACGAGAACAAAUGAAUUUAAAUCGUCCAGUUUGGAGUCAUCCACAAUCCAAAAUGGCUUCCCGUC